GCUGAUUCUUCUGAAGUGGCUAUUGGGUCUGCAGUACUGGUUUCAGAUCAGAGCUGUGAUGAUCCUAAGGAAGAGCGAGUGGUUGCGGUGGCGAAGGAAGGGGCCACAAAGCCCCAGGAAGGAAUUGUGGAAGAACAGGAACCAAUCAGUACUGUUCACAAGUCUGCUUCCUUGAUAACCAUGGAGGAUUCACCAGUCUUAAGCAUAUGGUCCAAGGCCGAAGCCACAGAACCAGUCAUUGAGAUGGAACAAGGUGCCUCAGUGGGAGAGAUGAUUGAUGAGAUCAAUCCUGACAUUGAAGAUAAGGCAGCGGCUGCCGAGUAUCAGGCCGUCAAGGAAGAUGGUUUUACCACUGAUGAGGCUGAUCACUUGAAUGUUCUUGUCAACACACUUGACAGAUUUGUAAAGCCCAUUUAUGAGUUCACCGUCAAGGAGAAGAAAGAGGGUGAGUGUUGGUGGAUGCUUAUGUAAUUUACAAGCAGCUGUAGGACACCGGACCCAGUCAGGAACUGCCAACAACCAUCAAUAGAUAUGAUCUGGUAACGGAAGGUAUGAAAAGCUCUACAAUCAGGAUUAGUAGAGACGGACCAAGAUUACCCAUGCUUUUGCCUUCCACCUUGUUGAUUUACAACUGAAACUAGAGUGAUUCGGGCCACGGCUAAGAAGGAAAUAGUCACUAGCCCAUAUCAAAUAGUCACAAACCCAUCAUCAAAUAGCUUAACAAAGAUCUGAUAAUAGAGGACGCAAAUAGUCUAAUCUUUUUUAAAAAAAGGACACAAAGAGUCCUUAGAGGAUGAACAAAUAUUUUAUACUGGAGCAUGACACACAUAUAGGGCCACUGUUGACACCUUCCACAAGGUGUAAAAGAUAUUUUCUUGUCAUGCACUUACUGUUUUUUUCUGAAGCACAACACUUUUUCUUCAAACAAACAUGUACAUGUGGAUGACUUCUCUAUCAAGAGGUAUGCUAGUGCUUUAAAUGGAUGAAUUGUCUAGCACAUAAAAGGUCGAUUUUUUUUAAGUUUCAAAAGUUGCACAAAACUGGGAAGUAGUUUUCCUUAGUACUGGAAGUAGGGAACAAGAAUACUGUUGUACUCUGCUCCUUUUACGGCUGUGGAUCCUUUCAGUAGUUAGGUUGAAUAUAAAGUGGCAACCACAUUGAAAAUC